rnacentral:lncRNA from 1 species
UUGAGUCUCAUUUUUAAGAACAGAGAUCUUACCAGAAGCCCCGUCUCUUCACUGGCUCAAAUGGGACCACAUGUUUACUGACUGCAUCAAUCACUGGUUUGGAUUACCACGUGUCUUAAUAACUAGGACUCACCCCUAGUGAAUGAGGAUGGAGUCAGCUCCCUGUGAAGCACAUGGCUGCAGAGAAAGACGGAGAACUGAGUAUCUGGGUGCUGCUGUGAAGGAUGCGAGUGUCAGGGCAGAGCAGACAUCAACAUUUACUACCAUAGUAAAGGCAGGAGAGCCUUUUUCUUGUCCUGCUCCAUCUCAGUGGACUGAGGACACAGGAUAGAACCAGGCUGAGUGGUGGUCCCUGAUGAAACCAGGCUCACAAGUCACACCCCACAGCCAAAGGUGUGGGACGGAGGGACAGCCGAUUCCAUUCACGGCCACAACACUGACAGGAUCACCACUUGUAAUUAAUGAGUCAAAAUACACCACCACGAAGAGAGGAAAUAUUUUAGAUCUGUUCAAGUAUAUAAUUUGACCUUACUACUUACAUAUUAUCAAACUUCCAAUUUAAAUAUGUUCUAGUUUAAAUGGUUUUAAAACAAAUGCAAAAGUUGCUAGAUGUGCAAUACCAACAAAUCUAAAACUGCAACUGGACAUUAAAUUCAAAAUUUUACUUUUAGAAUUAUACAAUUACUCAGCAGGACCACUUACUUAAAUCCCAUCCUAAACCAAUUAUCUAUUAAUAAAAAACCACAUC